rnacentral:tRNA from 1 species
GCCUUCGUGGUGUAGUGGUCAGCACACUUAACUAGUAAUCGAGAGGUCCGUGGUUCGAUUCCCAGCGAAGGCG